GCCCCAUCUGCAGUUCACUAUCAGGGGUCAAGGAUAUGGUUAAGGGCUCCAUCCUAAUUCUAAUCCCAAAGAUCCCCCAAGCUGAGCCAAGGGUGAAAGUGUCACCAGAGAAGUGUUAGUUUCUUGCCCCUGCAGUGACAGAUGCAAAUGAGAACAGACUCAUUCCCAUGGUUCUGCAUUCUGCAGCUUGUGAUCUGAAAUCAGUCACCCUGUAGGAAUUGAGGGUGCUUCCUGCCUCAGGCCCUGCUGCCUCCCUGCCCUCCUGGCUUUGGGUUCCUGGGGACCUUGGCUCCUGGCUGCAUCACUCCUGUCUCCACCCUCUGCUCACACAGCCUUCUUCUCCUCCAAGUCGAGACACUCUCUCUGCCUCCUUUUUAAAUGUGAUUGCAUUUAGGGUCUUGUGGGUAAUCCAGAGUAAUCCGCUGUCUUAGAAUCUUUCACUGAAGAUGAGGCACAUCUGCAGAAGCCUUCUUUACCAUGUGAGGUAACAUCCAGAGGUUCCCAGCACAGGUAUCUGGACGUCUCGAGUGGGGUUGGAGUGGCUGUUAUUCCGCCUCCCAUGGACAGCCCAGCUUUUAUGAUAUGCAGUAAAAAGUGUGUAGGUGUGCAACUGCGUGAGGUGUAUGUGCAUGGGACUGUGGGAGCCCAUGCAUGUUCACUGUAUCCAGCUGUGCAUGCCACAGGUGUUGGGGGCACCCACCUGAUUACCAUCAGUGGGGCGUGAGUUGUGGGGCUAGACGGAAUGGAGAUGUGAUUUCAAGCUGGCUCCUUUGGGCGGGAAGGUUUCCAGCACUCCAAGGCUGAGGGGCUGGUUGUAUGCCUCAUAAGCUGCCUCAGUGGAGUGACUAGGCCAAUAGUACUCAAAGUCCCUUCCCUGAACACUGAAAGCACCACACAGUGCCUGCCAGAGUGGACAUCCCAGAGGAACUGAGCUAGCAGAACUGUCCUGUUUAGAGAUCCCUUCACAAGCAUUUCCUAAAACUCAGGUGCCUGUUCAACUUGUGGCUUGUGAAUAUGAACAGAUGACCAAACUAGUGACCAAAGAACAGAUGACUAUGAAUGGCCGGAGCAGGCGCAGGUGGCCCUGAGGUGUGAUGUGUGCUUUUCAGGCCACAACAGAGUUCAGUCUAACCCCCUGCUGGCAAAGGCUCCCUCACUAUUUCAACAGCACUUAGGGGCGGAAACAGUUUUGCCAUGGAAAUUCUUUGAUGUGUCUAACUUUGCUUUAAUUGGGGUCUUUUAUUCAAGGGGCCCUGUUUAAUCCACUGCUCUCAUAUGCUCUGGAGAAGUGAAAUUGUGUUCUUCAAGCACGAGAGAGAAUUGGUACAGAAUUUCCAGUGAUUAUUCCGGUAAAUUUUGGUGACUUCAGUAAAUUUACUGGUGUUUGCAUUUCUCUUUGAUCAAUCUAGGAUGACUGACAUCUGUGGAGACUGGAUUUCAUUUCAAAUCUCCGAGAAAGUUCUGAUGUCGUGGCUUCACGUACUCUGGAGGGGACUCAGGGUUAUUUAUAGAAACCUAGUUAGCACUUCAGCUGCCAGCAGUGUUUUUAGAAGGUAACCUAAAGCAUCAACAGCGUAAUACAACCUGUGGGGCACCUACCUGGAAUUUUGUAAAUGGUGAUGUCAUUUAAAAAACUGGACCGACCCACAUAUGAGUGACAUCAAACAGAUGUCGCAUUUGCAUCUUGAAUUUCUAACAACAGAAUGGUGUUAGAGCCACAUAAAUGAAAC
rnacentral:lncRNA from 1 species